CUUCAGGCAUCAUAAAUGAAAGCAAAGAGCAUCGUCACAGGCACUUGCAGUGGCACGAGAACAACUGGAAGGCGAAGAAGAAGAAGACGACGCAGUCUCAGGAGAAAAAUGUGGUUCAUCUGCGUCUGCGACGAAGAAGAGAAGGAGCUCGCCAGACAGCAAGCCCCUGGAUCUUGCCCUCACUGUGGCGGCAAGGUCGAAGCCAUGGACGUCGAGAUCCAGCGCAGGUUCUGCUUCUUGCCUCUCUGCUUCACCAUCAAGCGCAAGUUCUUCUGUACUCUUUGCGCUCGCCGCUUAGAAUUGUUCUUCUAGAUUUUAGAUCUUCCUUUCCUCCUCUCCAAGCCGAAUCGGUAGUCUUACAAACAGAAUCGCGCCUGCUCGUAUAUAUUCGUGUCAAAUAUGUGUCCAGAUUGUGAUUCAAUCUCUGAGAGAGGGUUCCUUGAGACUGGAAACCCAGCUGUUCUAACUUCUAACCGAUUGGCCUGCGUUCGAUUUUU